UACGAACUGUGCGAACGUUAUUCGGAAUCACUGGGCUUACAGGGUGCGUAGGCGGCUUAGCAAGUCAGGUGUGAAAAGCCCCCCGGCUCAACCGGGGAACUGCGCUUGAAACUGCUGAGCUCGAGUCAGCUAGAGGUACACGGAACUUCCAGUGGAGCGGUGAAAUGUGUUGAUAUUGGAAGGAACACCGGAGGCGAAAGCGGUGUACUGGGGCUGGUCUGACGCUGAGGCACGAAAGCCAGGGGAGCGAACGGG
rnacentral:rRNA from 1 species